GCGGCAGGCCUAACACAUGCAAGUCGAGCGCGAAAACACUUCGGUGUGAGUAGAGCGGCGGACGGGUGAGUAAUGCUUGGGAAUCUGCCCAGUAGUGGGGGAUAACGUGUGGAAACGCACGCUAAUACCGCAUACUUCCUACGGGAGAAAGCAGGGGAUCUUCGGACCUUGCGCUAUUGGAUGAGCCCAAGUCGGAUUAGCUAGUUGGUGGGGUAAUGGCCUACCAAGGCGACGAUCCGUAGCUGGUCUGAGAGGAUGAUCAGCCACACUGGGACUGAGACACGGCCCAGACUCCUACGGGAGGCAGCAGUGGGGAAUAUUGCACAAUGGGCGAAAGCCUGAUGCAGCCAUGCCGCGUGUGUGAAGAAGGCUCUAGGGUUGUAAAGCACUUUCAGUAGGGAGGAAAAGCUUAAGGUUAAUAACCUUGAGCCCUGACGUUACCUACAGAAGAAGCACCGGCAAACUCCGUGCCAGCAGCCGCGGUAAUACGGAGGGUGCGAGCGUUAAUCGGAAUUACUGGGCGUAAAGCGCGCGUAGGUGGUUUGAUAAGCUAGCUGUGAAAGCCCCGGGCUCAACCUGGGAACUGCAGUUAGAACUGUCUGACUAGAGUACAGUAGAGGGUGGCGGAAUUUCCUGUGUAGCGGUGAAAUGCGUAGAUAUAGGAAGGAACAUCAGUGGCGAAGGCGGCCACCUGGACUGAUACUGACACUGA
rnacentral:rRNA from 1 species